rnacentral:rRNA from 1 species
UUAAACUGAAGAGUUUGAUCCUGGCUCAGAUUGAACGCUGGCGGCAUGCCUUACACAUGCAAGUCGAACGGCAGCACGGAGCUUGCUCUGGUGGCGAGUGGCGAACGGGUGAGUAAUAU